rnacentral:rRNA from 1 species
UACGGGGGGAGCGAGCGUUAUUCAGAAUGACUGGGCGUAAAGGGUACGUAGGCGGUCUAUUAAGUUGAAGGUAAAAGCCCAGAGCUUAACUCUGGAAAACCCUUCAAAACUGAUAUGACUGGAGUACGAGAGAGGAUAGUAGAAUUUCUAGUGUAGGGAUGAAAUAUGAAAAGAUUAGAAGGAAUACCAAAGGCGAAGGCAACUAUCUGGAUCGAUACUGACGCUGAGGUACGAAAGUAUGGGGAGCAAACAGG